CACUCCCAUCAGUUCCAGCUAGCAUUGUCGGAUUAUGGGAUUUGCAGUGCAUCAAAACCUGGACCACAAUUUGUCCAUCCCUACUGUAUAAGGACCAAUCUGAAUAAUUCCUGGGUGGGAUAUCACCAAGAACCAACAUGGGAUUUGCAGGUAGGACUACUAUUUCUUUCUUUUUUUAUCGCAUCAGAAGCAAAUUGAGCAAGUUGCUUCUGGUGUGAGAUAAUCGGCGUCUACAGAGAUGUUGCUCAGGGGAUGCCCGGAUGUGUUAACCUCUUAUGGGAGGUUUCUUUCAUGUCCCCGCAAGGGAAGCUGGGGCUGACAGAUGAGAGGUCACCUGUCUCAAAUUCGAACCACUGGCCUUCAGAUCAGCCGGCACAAGGGUUUAACCCAUUGCGCCACCAUGGCUCCAUAUUUUAUUUCUUGUUAUAAAAUACCAUGUGUGUUCCCUUCAGUUCAUUAAAUUAAAUUAAAAGUUGGAGCAAAAGGUAACGCAGGCCCCUUUUACACUACUAUAUAAUUUCAUUACUAAUUUCAAUCCUGCAGUGUGCCUACUGUAUCUACUGGGUUUUAGUUCCAGGAUCCACCACGAAUAUAAAAAAAUACACGGACAAUCAUGCUCCAUGUUAUUAAAUGGUGGUAGUUUUCAGAAUGAAACCGUGACAUUUUCCCACAUAGUUUGGGCUCCUUGUGACCUGCAUGAAUUGCUGCAAAGAGAUUCAGCUCAAUACAUUUGAUCUCAUGUGAUUUUCCCCCUUUUUGUGUAAUGGCCAAAAGGGCUUUUUACAACCAUGAACUAAACUGCUUUAUACCCAAAAGGGCUUUUGAUCCAAAUGUUCUCAAAUGCUCCAAACUCUUAAUAAGCUGAACUCCAUAUAAUCGCCUGGGAAUGUGUAACCGUGAUAACUAUCUCUAAAUAAGAAAAGAUGUGAGCAGUGACACUGAUGGCUUUGCCUCAAGAUUGGAAUGAAAACUAUCAUGAGAAGACCACAUGAUUCUCACUCCUCCUGUGCUUUCACAAAUAUAAACGUUCUUAUGAUACCUACCUAAUGAAUAUACGUGAAGUACAUAUAAUCUAAUUUAUCUUGCCUUUGUCUUCUUGACUUGCUGCCCAUCAAAUGCAUGAUACUGCUUCACAAGAAGUAGCCAUUAGAGAUAUACAGUUGGUCUUCCACGUUUGUGGGACCUAACUUUUGUUGAUUUGAUUAUUCUCGGAUUUGAUUAAAAUUGAAAUUGUAGAUGCAAGUUGACCAUAGAGUCAUGUUGGAGGAUCAUUCUAGAGAUUUGUUGAGAGAUGUUCUCUUAAAUUUAAAAAAGUGGUUUUUUAAUUCAUGGUUUUUCCAUCUUCAUGGUGGCCCUGCAUCACUAACCUCGGUGAACAUGGAGAGCUGACAGGAUAUUUAUAUGGCCUUUACUUUUCUGUGAUACCACAUGUAAAAAUACUUACUAGAUUAUCUGAGCUAGCUGUUGCAUGAUGCACUUUCUUUCCUAUAUUUGCUUAUGAAGCAAGAGAUAUACAUUUUCCUUUAGUCAGGGAUGGGCAAAGUGAGCCCCUCCAGAUAACAACAACAACAACAACUACAACUUUAUUCUUGUAUCCCGCCCCAUCUCCCCGAAGGGACUCGGAGCGGCUCACAUGGGGACCAAGCCUAAAAUACAACACAAUAUACAACAAUGAAGUAAUUUAAAACAUAUAAAAUAAGAGGCAUAUAAAAUACAGUAAAAACAUACAAUAACCCAUAGCCUUCUAGGCGCAGUAAGCAUAAUCAGGAUUGGUGGUAAGGCAGUAAAAUUAAUUAUGUGUAAUAUUUUGCAAUCUCUGAACUGGGCCAGAAUAAAGUGCAAUAGCUGGGUAUAGGUGGAAGUGAAAGGACACAGUCAAUUUGUGCCCAAUCAGUCAAACGCACAUCGAAAUAGUCAGGUUUUCAGCUCUUUCCAGAAUGUGGCCAAAGUGGGGGGCUAAUCUAAUUUCCCUUAAGAGCGAGUUCCAGAGCCAGGGGCUACCGCCAAGAAGACCCUCUCCCUCGUCCCCACCAACCGUGUUUGAGACGGUGGCAGGAACGAGAGGAGGGCCUUCCCCGCAGAUCUCAGGGAUCGUGUAGGUUUGUAGUAGGAAAUGCGAUCCCAAAGAUAAGCUGGACCCAAACUGUUUAGGGCUUUAUAGGUGAUAACCAGCAGCUUGAAUUGAGACCGAAAACUAAUGGUAGUGGCUGCUUCUUCUUUGUCUUGUUCCUCCUCCUCCCUUUCCUUCCUGCUCCCCUUCCUCCUCUUCCUCCACCUGCGCCUCCUCUUUUUCUGUGUGUACUACAGAUUUCCUCAACCCCUUCCACACAUCUGAAUAAAAUCCCACAUUAUCUGCUUUGGACUGGAAUAUAUGGCAGUGUGGACUCCGAUAAUCCUGUUCACAGCUGAUACCGUGAUAUUUUCUGCCUUGAUAUUCUGGGAUAUAUGGCUGUGUGGAAGGGCCCCUAGUCAGGACAGCCAGUGCUGAGUCUUGCUAGAAGAUGCAGUAUAACAACAUAUAGACCAGUGCACUUUGCUUAUCCAUACUUUAAUUCAAGUGUGGAACACUUUGCUUCACCUAGACAGUGGCCCCUUCUACACAGCUGUAUAAAAUCCAGAUUAUCUGCUUUGAACUGGAUUAUCUGGCAGUGUUGACGCAGAUAAUCCAGAUCAAAGCAGAUAAUGUGGAUUAUCUGCCUUAAUAUUCUGGAUUAUAUGGCAGUGUAAAAGGGCCCUCAGUCUAAUUCAGUUUCAGAGAAGUUAUUGGGUCCAUAUUCUGACAAAGGCGAGACCAGAAACAAAAGGACGAGACUAAAACUACAGCCUAUUUUAGCUCAACACUCUUUCUUUCCGGGUUGUUGUGUGUUUUCUGGGCUGUAUGGCCAUGUUCCAGAAGUAUUCUCUCCUGACAUUUCGCCCACAUCUCUGGCAGGCAUCCUCAGAGGUUGUGUACCUCACAAUGACAUUUUGCCUCAUUGUGAAUGAGUUUCUUAGCACCAAUUCUACAUAGUUCAGUAUAUACAAUCUAUAUAUAUAAAAGGAUAAAAAAAAUUCGGCCUAGAACAAAACAACAAAACUACACAUCCCAGAAACACUAAACUUGGCAACACAACCCCUCAUCCAUGCCUCUACGUUCAUACAACAAAAAGAAAAGAAAAAUAAAGUCCUAAUUAGAGGGAGAGCAAUAAUUGUUUUUUUUUAAUCAAAUUGCUGCCAGUUACAAGGCUAAACUCUGCCCACUUGGUCUCCUAGCAACCUACUCAGCCCAGGGGACAGGCACAGUUAGGCCUCAGGCCUCUUCCACACUUCCUAUAAGAUACAGAUUAUCUGAUUUUAACUGGAUUAUAUAGCAGUGUAGACUCAAGGCCCUUCCACACAGCUAUAUUACCCAUUUAUAAUCUUAUAUUAUCUGCUUUGAACUGGAUUAUCUUGAGUCCACACUGCCAGAUAAUUCACUUCAGUGUGCAUUUUAUACAGCUGUGUAGAAGGGGCCUCAUAUAAUCCAGUUCUAAGCAGAUAAUAUAAGAUUAUAAAUAUAUAGUAGAGUCUCACUUAUCCAACAUAAACAGGCCGGCAGAACGUUGGAUAAGUGAAUAUGUUGGAUAAUAAGAAGGGAUUCAGGAAAAGCCGAUUAAACAUUAAAUUAGGUAAUGAUUAUACGAAUUAAGCACCAAACAUACACCAAAGCACAAGCACCAAAUACAACAAAUUUGACAGAAAAAGUAGUUCAAUCCUCAGUAAUACUAUGUUGUAAUUACUGUAUUUACAAAUUUAGCACCAAAAUAUCACAAUGAAUUUAAAACAUUGACUACAAAAACAUUGACUACUAAAAGGCAGACUGCGUUGGAUAAUCCAGAACACAGGAUAAGCAAAUGUUGGAUAAGUGAGAUUCUACUGUAAUAUGAAAUAAUUACUGUGGUAAUCCAGUCCAACCAAUUCUGCCAUGGAGGACACAAUCCAAGCACGCCCAACAGAUGGCCACCCAGCCUCUCAAUAAUAAUAAUAAUAAUAAUAAUAAUAAUAAUAAUAAUAAUAAGAAGAAGAAGAAGAAGAAGAAGAAGAAGAAGAAGAAGAAUAUCAUACAAUCAUAAGGUUAGGGGACACCCCUAAGGAUCAUCCAAUUCAACUUCCUUCUACUAUGCAGGAUGACACAAACCAAGCACUCCUGACAGAUGGCCAUCCAAGAUCUGCACAGUAAUAAUACAAAUCGAAUCAUAGAAUCAGACAGUUAGGAGACACCCCUAAAGGCCAUCCAGUCCAACCCAAUUCUGCCAUGCAGGACACAAUGCAAGCACUCUCAACAGAUGGCCACCCAGCCUCUCAAUACUACUACUACUACUACUACUACUACUACUACUAAUAAUAAUAAUAAUAACAACAACAACAACAACAACAUCAUCAUACAGUCCUAAGGUUUGGAGUGACCCCUAAGGAUCAUCCAGAUCAACUUCCUUCUACUAUGCAGGAGGACACAAUCCAAGCACUCCUGACAGAUGGCCAUCCAUCCUCUACAUAUUAAUGAUGAUGAACAUGAUGAUGAUGAUGAUGAUGAUGAUGAUGAUGAUGAUGAUGAUGAUGAUGAUGAUGAUGAUGAUAAUAAUAAUAAUAGAAGCAUAGAAUCCAAGAGUUUGGAGAGACCCCUAAGGGCCAUCCAGCCCAACCCUUUCUACUAUGCAGCAGGACACAAUCCAAGCAUUCACAACACAUGGACAACAUAUAAAUACUAUACAAUAUUACACAGGGACAUAGACCCCCUCUACCCUCACCACUUUCACAGUACACAAACAACCAAAUGCAUACUAAACAUAAAGACAAACAUACAACAGACAUUCAGUACCACCACUACCUGAACAAGUUCUCACCAACACCACCAGACAAUGCCAUAGCAACUCGUGGCUGGGCACAGCUAGUUGUUUUAUAUUAUUUUAAAAUUAUAAAUUUUAAUUAAAAAUUUUCUGUGUGUACAUAUAGGUAAGAAAAAAAAGUGAAAGUGGCAGAUACUAUAGUGUAGGGAUGGCAUAAAGGGGGUUGAAGGGGAUGGGAAGGGGGGUUAUAGCUUGAGUCUUGGGGUGGGAAGGGAAGGAUAGGGAAGGAAGGGAAAAUUGAGGGGGGGGGGAGAGAAAGUUAUUGUCUUCGUCUUCCUCUUCAUUAUCAAUUCCUUCUCCAGUCACUUAUUCUUUCCACAGUAUGCUUCUCCUUUCCUCUCUUUGUUGUUGCUGUUUAUUCGUUCAGUCACUUCUGACUUUUCGUGACCUCAUGGACCAGUCCACGCCAGAACUCCCUGUUAGCCGUUGCCACCCCCAGUUUCUUCAAGGUCAAGCCAGUCACUUCAAGGAUACCCUUGGUCGGCCCCUCUUCCUUUUUCCUUCCAUUUUCCCCAGCAUAAUUCUCUUCUCUAAGUUUUCUUGUCUUCUCAUUAUAUGGCCAAAGUACUUCAUCUUUUCCUCUAAUAUCCUUUCCUCCAGUGAGCAGCCUGGCAUUAUUUCCUGGAGUAUGGACUGGUUGGAUCUUCUUGCAGUCCAAGGCUAUCUCAAAAUUUUCCUCCAACACCACAGUUCAAAAGCAUCUAUCUUCCUUCACUCAGCCUUCCUUAUGGUCCAGCUCUCUCUUUAUUGGGGCUAUUUUCCUUAUAGUUUUCUGCUUGAGUUAUAUUAUUGUCAUCUUUUUUCUGUAUUCAUAUAAUCUUUAAACAGUUGCCAGUCAGUUGUCUUUUAGGGGUUUUCUGGUAUUUUCAACAUCAAUUGGGUCAAUUUGUCCAUGUCCAUGAUUUCCGUAAUUUUGAUUAACCAUUGUUCUUUUGUUGGUAAUUCUUUUGUUCUCCAAUUUCUAGCAUAUACAAUUCUUGCUGCUGUUGUUAGGUAACUAAAAAGGAUUUCCGUGUUUGCAUCUAUGUCAAUGUCUGUAUUUGUUAGUCCAAGUAAGAAAUACUCUGGUUUCAUUUGUAUCUUGAGUUUAAGAAUCUUUUGGGAUAGUUCCUGGAUCUCCCCCAAUAGUUUUUAGCUUUUUCACACAUCCACCACAUAUGAUAGAAUGUGCCUUUUUUUUUUAUUACAGUAUUUAUAUUCCGCCCUUCUCACCCCGAAGGGGACUCAGGGCGGAUUACAAUGAACACAUAUAUGGCAAACAUUCAAUGCCAACAGACAAACAACAUUCAGUUUUUUAGACAGACACAGAGGCAUUUUUUAAACAUCUUUCCAGUUUCACGAUUCCGGCCACAGGGGGGGCUGUUGCUUCACCGUCCAUUGGUGGCUGUUCUUCCUCUUCUUUUCCUUGUGAGCAGUUUUAUAGUGUUGUAGAUUAGUUAAAUUAGCCUCCCGCAUAAAGCGUCCCUAAAUUUUCCCUACUUGACAGAUGCAACUGUCUUUUGGGGCUGCUAGGACAACAGCAAGCUGGGGCUAUUUUUUUUUAAUAGUCGGAGGCUUAACCCGACCCGGGCUUCGAACUCAUGACCUCUCGGUCAGUAGUGAUUUAUAGCAGCUGGUUAUUAGCCAGCUGCGCCACAGCCCGGCCCCUUUCCACAUUUCUUUCCACAUUGCAUUCCACAUUUCCAGCACUUGCUGUGCAUGUUUUUGUAAAAAGCUUCUAAUUUGUGUGGGGUUAUAUACCAUCUGUACAACAUUUUAUACCAAUUCUCUUUUAGGUCCAUUGCAUAGGUAAAUUUUAAAUUCUGAUACCACAUGCAUUCCCAUUCUUCUAAUUUUAUUGGAGGACCUUACAGCGACACCAGAGGCACUUGAAGUGGCCAGCUUCUGAUCAAAGGAAUUUAGCAUAAUGCUUACUUUUUAACUUUGUUUGUGGUUUUUUUUUAAUACAUUAUAGCUGUAUUCUCAAUUUGCUUCUGAUGCAAUAAAUAAAUAAAUUUGUC